AUUCGUUAUAAUUUAUUCACCCAUAGUUUUGACAGAGUGUUCGAGUGAGCUUCCGUUUGCGCAAUCCGAAUCUUGCAGUAACAUUUAACUCCGAACGAAGCGAACUUAUUAUUUAUGCAGAGAACUCGAUAUUACGUUAAGGUUCGAGCUCUCGCUUUUAAUGGCGCUAUUGUUUGAUUCCUUCCAGAUACGUGCCUCCCUUUUUUUUCUCUUCUCUCGACUCGUGAUGAACGUGUUCACUUAUCUCUUCCUUCGGCGUUAUGUAACACCGAAAGGAAAGAAUGGCGGGCAACCGAGAAAAACCGAGAAAGCGAGAGAGAAGAGUGUUUCGAUUCGCCAAACGAUGAACCAUUUCAGGUUGGUCGAGGAGGAUCGAUUCUCAGCAUAACGAGAGAGCAACUUUCUACUCACGGUACUCGUAUAAAGUUCAGCUCCACGUUUGUAAUUUGCGGUUUGCUGCGCGCGCAGCAAUCAGAUCGGUAACGUGGACCGCUAAACGAUCUUACCCGAGAAGAGCAUCGGCUAUUCUCGUCCUUUCGUUUGUGUGAAAACUGAAAUGGCGGAACGGCUUUCUAAUGUAUCACGUGGAAAGAAAGAAAUUAGAAGAUUAUAGUGAAUUGCAUUUUCUCGUGUUUUUGUUCUCGAAACAAGAAUGGAAAUUAAAAAUUGUAUUCAAUAAAGAACAUACGUGGGACGUAACGAGCGAUUUAGAACGAUAAGAAUAAUUUUUUUGAAAGAAGGUUAUGUUUGAGAUAAGAUUAAUAAGAUAAUAAGUGAUGAAUGUAAAUGAAUGUAAAUGAAAUCAAGCUCGAAUUGUCAAAUUGGAAAAUAUAUAGAUUCAUGUGUUGAAUAAUACGAUAUUUUAUCCAUGGAUAAAUAAAGCAAAGUUUCAAAGUACUUCAAUUUCAAUCUCUUUGAUUAAUCAUAUACAUUUGCAUCGAUUUAUCAGAAUUUUAUUUUAAAAAAAUAGGAGAAAAAUGAUAGAGAUAGAUGACAAAUUUCUGCGAGGAUUCGAUGAAUGAAUACGCGAGAGUGAUAUUAUUCACGUUAUCUCGAGCGUGUCUAUAUAAUUUCUCAUUUACACAAUGGUGCACGAACGAUGCAUUUGCACCGUGUUGCAGCAAUGCAACUCUACUUUAACAUAUCGAUUCACGUACGUCGAAAGUUUCAGAAGGCCACGGCAAUACGAUUGAACGAGCAAAGCCUCUAAAAGAGACGAGAACUUUUACACGAAUUUAAACUUUCAUCAAGGUUACGCAUAUUAUUAAUUUUUCUAGUAAGGUUCAAAUAUAUUGGUGAAGCCGAAGUAUGGAGAAUGUUUUUAUGCAUUCAUGAGAAAUACGAAUAUACAAAAAUGGAUAUCUUUGAAAGAGUUUAUUUUAUCGAUUCGCAACGAAUGUAUGAUUAUUCUCAAUGCCAUGGUAUACCUGCACGUGCAUAACCUAACAGCCAUGAAUAAAAUAACUUUCAUGAUAUAAUUAAAUGUAGAUAGAUGAUAUAACAAACACGAACUUUUCCCUUCUCUACUCUCUUAUACAAUACGACUAGCAACGAAUUCUGAUACGCACAUUUCUCCAGGCAUCGCAUGACUUCACUGCUUCCCACUGCAUUUCGUAUCAAAAUAAAAAUAAAUUUGAUUACAUUUAAAGAGAGAUGUUAUUUUAUAACAUCAAACAACAUUUCAAACUUUUGAACCCUGCAAUUAAUUACCACGUAACGAGCCUGUCUCAUCAAUAUCACUUACCACAAAAUAAAUUUUUUUUAAAUUUAUAUUAUUAUAUUAUAAUAAAUUUAAUUACAUUUGCUGUCCAAUGGGUCAAUCCAAAUUUGUUCGUUUUUCGAUAGAAGGAAGAGGAUCCCGUCGUUUUGAUGAACAACGAACCGAUCAAAGGUCGAUCUUCGAUCGGUGUUAAUGAAAUUAGCGGGCGAUGGCCGAGGGAUAAGGCGCUGUGCAGAGCGGAAAACGCGCGGAAGAGUCGGUCCAGCCUGAUACCUGAUAUCGGUAUUAACUCGACCAUAAAGCAUUCCGCAGGCCCCGUCCACAAAGUGAUUGCGAUUGCGCCUCGGGCAUUACAACGCGCAGAUUUAUGAACAGGGGUUUCCUACGAAC
rnacentral:lncRNA from 1 species